rnacentral:rRNA from 1 species
GCACAAUGGAGGAAACUCUGAUGCAGCGACGCCGCGUGAGUGAAGAAGGUCUUCGGAUCGUAAAACUCUGUCCUUGGAGACGAAAAAAAUGACGGUAGCCAAGGAGGAAGCCCCGGCUAACUACGUGCCAGCAGCCGCGGUAAUACGUAGGGGGCGAGCGUUGUCCGGAUUUACUGGGCGUAAAGGGUGAGUAGGCGGUAAUAUGUGUCUGAUGUAAAAGGCUAUGGCUUAACCAUAGUUGGCAUUUGAAACUGGAUUACUUGAGUGCAGGAGAGGUAAGUGGAAUUCCUAGUGUAGCGGUGAAAUGCGUAGAUAUUAGGAGG